AAAAAAAAUGCCUCAGGUGAUUCUCAUGAGCAGUCAGGGCUGAGGCGUCUCUGAUUUAAUUCAACCCUGGUGUUUCACAUCUGAGAAAAUUGAGGCCCCUCUUACUUAGCUGUUACUGUGGGUUAACAAUCUAAAUAUCUCUGUGAUCAACACAGAUUCCCCAUGUGCUCCCUGCACUGUCAGUCCCUAACAGGCAGGCAUAAAGCCUCUGCUGGAGCCACUGCAGGGAUGGGAGCUCAAGACUACUCAUGCCUACCCUCACCUGAGUAGCCCACUGUGGUUUGGGACAGCCUUGUUGUUAGAAAAAUCUUUGUUUUAUUGAGACCAAAACUUUCUCUAUAAACAUCACCUUUGGCUUAAAAUUUGGUCCCACUUCAUAGGGUUGUGUCAAGGAUCAAAUAGGGUAAUGCAUGUGAAUUCUAGAAUAAUAUACGAGUAAAAAAUCCUACACAAACUCAACUUUAGACUGGCUGGUGUCUUAUUGUGAAGUCCCCUGCCCCCAUCCCUAUGAUACCCACAUAACAUCCCCUUAUUCCCAGCUCUGGACACUUGCCUCUGCCAUUUCCACUGCUUAGAAGACCUAGGCCCAGCCAGGCACAGUGGCUCAUGCCUGUAGUCCCAGCACUUUGGGAGACCAAGGUGGGCGGAGCACCUCAGGUCAAGGAAUUCAAGACCAGCCUGGCCACCUGGUGAAACCCCAUCUCUACAAAAAUACAAAACUUAGCCAGGCAUGAUGGUUAAUCAUGUAAUCCCAGCUACUUGGGAGAUCAGUUAUGUGAACCAAUAAAUACCCUUUUUUGCUUAAGUUACUUUGAGUUGGGUUUCUAUUACUUGAAAUUGAAUCCACACUAAUAUAUCUACCAACAUUGAGACUUGACAGAUCCAAGUAUUUAUUAAGCUAGAGGUCAUGGUCACUGAAAUUACUUUGCAAAGUGGAAGACAAAAUGAAAC
rnacentral:lncRNA from 1 species